rnacentral:misc_RNA from 1 species
GUUUGGAUAAGGUGGGAGGGUGAUUGAAAUUGGGAAAAAGAAAACAUGAAGAUACUAUUUUUAAGAAAAACAAAAGAAAAGGGUCAGUAUUCUUGUGAAUGGUGCUUGAGGGUAUCAUUUUAAUAUGUAUAAUAAAAGAUGACAUUUCUUCCUGAAAAAAGAAGAAUCAUGAAGUCCAUCUUCUUCCGCGAGCAAUGCCGACGAGCAACACAGGAAGAAGUCAAGUGCAUUAUCAACAUGUAAAGCUUAAGGCCAUGGUAGCCUUGAAUGCGUCGAGAGCCAACGAAGCCGCAAAUUUGUAACCAAUGGAGCACCAAGAGCUAGAAGGACUCAGAUUGUCAGUUGUUUCUCACUCAUGCCAUACCCUCGCCAUGUCCAAUGAUCGGAAGAAAAUAUAUUAAACAUCCCUGGGCGGCUCGGCCGAGUACUAAACUAAUAGGGAGAAAGAGAUGAGACCAACUCUUAGAAACUUUACUCGGCCGAGGACACGGUCUAUCUUCCAGUGAUAGAACCUUCUUAGCUUUGAUUAUGAUCUGCAUCAAACAAACAAAGAUGAAAACAGUAUGCACACCCCAUCUAAUAAUAUUGAG